CCAAUGGGUCAGCAUAAUUUUCAAAAUCGUACCUUAAGAACCAAGUCCCAAAAGAAAAGAUUUGAAGAAGAAUUAAAUGAAAGGAUGAUUCAAGCAAUUGAUGGAAUUAAUGCACAAAAGCAGUGGCUCAAGUCUGAAGACAUUCAGAGAAUCUCACUCCUGUUCUACAAUAAAAUACUAGAAAAAGAAUACCGAGCCACCGCCCUGCCAGCGUUUAAGUACUACGUGACCUGCGCAUGUCUCAUAUUCUUCUGCAUCUUCGUUGUGCAGAUUCUAGUAUU